UGGCUCGAUUUCCUGGGGGGUGGGCUCAGUCUGUUCCACCUCCCCUCAGACGAGCCUAGAGCAAAGGCAGGGUUUCCUGCCAAAUAGGAGGGGUGGUCAAGAAAUAAGCCCCACCUGGGCUAUCCUUGCCAUACAUUU